GCCGUAUUGUCCCCGCGGCGCGCCGCGCGCUCGUCCAAGAUCGCCAGCGGCCCCCGCGCGCCUACCCACCCGGCUCCAGGAGCAAGCCGGGGGCGCCUAGGAAACCGUCGCCAGACGCCGCCGCCGCUGCCCUCCGGACGCCGCUGCGCUCCGGGUUUUUCUUUCCUUUUUUUUCCAAUCCUGAUGGGAAGGAAGGUGACCGCCUACUUCGCAUUCAUCAACUCUCAUCACAACAACAAAAAUCCUGGCGCAAAGGGCGGCCAGCAGGCGCAAUCGGUGGCGAGGGGCGGCGGGCGAUAACCCCCAGUCGGGCGUCCACCCCCGGGCGCAGCGCGUGGACACGGGGCCGGGGGCGCUGACCAAAGAUGUCCUCGGAUGCCGGCCCGGUGUCCUUCGCCCUCCUCCUCCCGGAGUGGCGCAGUGAGGCGCGGGCACGGCGCCCCAGCCAGCGGCCGCAGAUACUUCUCACUACAAAUCGGCUCUCUCCAGGGAUUAGCGGCUACGCGAAAGUGCAUACUGGCGCUGCGGGCAAUCGAGGGGGCCGGGCAAGGCAGGCACUCCCCAGCCCAGCCCCAUGCCACCCGGGAGGCGCGGGGGUCCCGAGGCCGGUGCGGUGAUUCCACCCGCCCUAGCCUUCCUCCUCCGCCCCUUCCACGUGGGGCCCGCCACGUGGGGAGACGCGAGCUCCAGCGGGCCUGGCCGCGGUCCCCCGGGUGGCCCCGGCUCGGUAGGGCCCCACCACGCCCGCGCAGCAGACCUGCCCUCUACUCGGCCCCGAGGCUCCAACUUCCUCCUGGGCCCUGCGCAGGCCACCGGUGCCGUCCCAGGCCCGCGAGGUCAGGCGCGGGCCGGCCACAGGGGGCACUUGCGUUCCCCGAUCCCAGAUCCGGGAGACCGUGCCGGCUGCGGGUGCGCGCGGAGACUGUUCUGUGUGCUGGAACUUGCCGCGGCUCCUGUGCUACCAGUUCCUGCUUUGUGAGUUCCUUGAUCCUAAACUAUGGUAAUGAAAGCUC
rnacentral:lncRNA from 1 species